rnacentral:rRNA from 1 species
UACGUAGGGUGCGAGCGUUGUCCGGAAUUACUGGGCGUAAAGAGCCCGUAGGUGGUUUGUCGCGUCGUCUGUGAAAUUCCGGGGCUUAACUUCGGGCGUGCAGGCGAUACUGGCAUAACUUGAGUGCUGUAGGGGAGACUGGAAUUCCUGGUGUAGCGGUGAAAUGCGCAGAUAUCAGGAGGAACAUCGAUGGCGAAGGCAGGUCACAGGGCAGUAACUGACGCUGAGGAGCGAAAGCAUGGGGAGCAAACAGG